GCCAGGUGCAGUGGUGCAAGCCUGUAAUCCCAGCUGCUCUGGAGGCUGAGGCAGGAGGAUCAUGAGUUCAAAGCUAGCCUUAGCAAUGGCUAAGCAAGUCAGUGAGACCCUGUCUCUA
rnacentral:sRNA from 1 species